UCUGUCUGGGAGAGCUCAGCCUCACAGCAGCGAGAGGGAGGCCAUGCUGGUGACUCCUGCGGGGACUCCUCCCGGCGACGCUGACAUUGGGAACCACCGCACUGCCUCUGUUCCCAGGCAGGAUUUCAGGCCAUUAAGAGGACUGACCCAGCUUGAAAACUCAGACGUCCAUAAAACCAUUAAGGCUAGUAUCUGUCCUCUUGAUACCACCUUGACUUCCAGUGCUGGAGCCUGUGGAGAUAAUAGAGUUUGACUCUCACUGUGAAGAUACCAUUCACAUGCAGCGAAGAUAAGCUAACCAGCUACGAGAAGAACAUGAGUGACCAGCUGAUGUGUA